GUAGGGUGCGAGCGUUAAUCGGAAUUACUGGGCGUAAAGCGUGCGCAGGCGGUUGUGCAAGACAGAUGUGAAAUCCCCGGGCUCAACCUGGGAAUUGCAUUUGUGACUGCACGGCUAGAGUGUGUCAGAGGGGGGUAGAAUUCCACGUGUAGCAGUGAAAUGCGUAGAGAUGUGGAGGAAUACCGAUGGCGAAGGCAGCCCCCUGGGAUAACACUGACGCUCAUGCACGAAAGCGUGGGGAGCAAACAGGAUUAGAUACCCUGGUAGUCCCACGCCCUAAACGAUGCCAACUAGUUGUCGGGUCUUAAUUGACUUGGUAACGCAGCUAACGCGUGAAGUUGACCGCCUGGGGAGUACGGUCGCAAGAUUA
rnacentral:rRNA from 1 species